GAUGAAGAACGUAGCGAAAUGCGAUAAGUAGUGUGAAUUGCAGAAUUCAGUGAAUCAUCGAAUUUUUGAACGCAUAUUGCGCUUCUUGGAAAUUCCGGGGAGCAUGCCCGUUUCAGUAUCAUAUGAAGUCUUAAUAGGUAUAGCUAGGGCUUAGCAUAUACAUGUAAAUGUGUAUGCGAAGUUAUUACAUAGCUAUACCUAUUAAGGAUUUUGGACUUCUUUUUUGACGUUCACACGCAAAAUAGUCUUUAAAUAAUUGUGCAUGCUUACUGAUAGCAUAUGUUGGCUGCAACUGAGCAACAGAAUAUUGUUCUAUUUCUCUUUGGCAGUUUGUCUAUGUGUCUGUGAGUGUUAGCCUAGUUAAUGAUAUUAUGACCCGUGGUCUGAAAUCGGGCAAGAAAACCCGCUGAACUUAAGCAUAUCAAUAAGCGGAGGA
rnacentral:misc_RNA from 1 species